rnacentral:rRNA from 1 species
GGAGGAAAGCAGGGGAUCGUAAGACCUUGCGCUUUUGGAGUGGCCGAUGCCUGAUUAGCUAGUUGGUGGGGUAAGAGCCUACCAAGGCGACGAUCAGUAGUUGGUCUGAGAGGACGACCAGCCACACUGGGACUGAGACACGGCCCAGACUCCUACGGGAGGCAGCAGUGGGGAAUUUUGGACAAUGGGCGGAAGCCUGAUCCAGCAAUGCCGCGUGAGUGAAGAAGGCCUUCGGGUUGUAAAGCUCUUUCAGUCGAGAAGAAAAGGUUGUGACUAAUAAUCGCAACUUAUGACGGUAUCGACAGAAGAAGCACCGGCUAACUACGUGCCAGCAGCCGCGGUAGUACGUAGGGUGCGAGCGUUAAUCGGAAUUACUGGGCGUAAAGGGUGCGCAGGCGGCUCUGUAAGUCAGAUGUGAAAUCCCCGGGCUUAACCUGGGAAUU